CCGCCAUCAAAGAGGCACAAACGGGCACUGGAGGGGGUCGUCUGCCAGGCUUCCGUGGUCGCGUGUUGCAACUCACCGGGUUGGCACGCUUCGGUGGCGUCUUCGGUUCCCUCGAAUAUCAACAGCAGGCGGAUGUUCCCGCUCCUGCAAUGGAGGUCGAGGUGGAAGCCACUGAAGCGGCUGCAGCAGGUGACAGUGACACAGCCACACGUAAGC